UUGUAAUAAAAUUUUAAUCAAACAUGUCUUAUUGUAGUGUAUAAAUUGGAUGAUGGCUGUGUUGUUAAAGCUAGAUCCUACCGAUCACAGAAGAAAAAUGAGUCUCCACACACAAUGGAGAUACAUCUAAUAUCAGGACCAAUAUUUGAGAGGGAUGACAGCAGUUGCUCCUGUCCAAUUGGAACCUCUGGUGCAUGUGGUCACAUUACAGGUCUUUUGUAUACCCUUGCUCAUAUGAAAACAACUGGAAUGCUGGUUAUUCCAACAGAUGUAACAAAAACCUCACUUCCACAAACAUGGCAUGUACCAAGAGGGGAAAAGGUAGCAGGGAGCUCCAUUGACAACGUUCGAGUGUUAGGUUUUGAUAUGAGGAACCCAUAUGUGCCACCUGGAGGAAUUCGAACAACAUUAUACAGCCCUAUUGAAAAUGUGUCCGAACUACCUUUACAGGAAUUGUGUGAUAACCUUGAGGAAGUUGACGACGCCUGUAUGCUUUUGAGCGUGGUAAAUUUAGAACGUCAGGAGAAAGUUGUAGACACGAAGUUUGGCAAAUUCCCCAAGGGGAGUCCACUUGCAGUGCAGCAAAAAAUGAACAGUAAUUUAAUUCUGAAUAUAUUGGAUGCUGAUGACUUUCCUAAAUUACCAUCUCAAAAUGUGAUGAUUAACAAUAUAUCUACUGUGUUUUCUGAAACAAAACACUUGAAAACUGACUCAUUAAGUGUCGCUACUGGUGAGGCUUCAGAGAUAGAAUCUCUGACUCAGUUACAGUCACAGGAUCCCAAAUAGCACAGGAUUAGGCUUGAUAGGAUAACGGCAUCUAUUGCUGGUUCCAUUGUCAAAAGGAGAAAAGACCCCUUGGUGGAGCGACUAAGGACCUUCAAAUCUGUGGUGACAGCCAGUAUGAUACAUGGGAUAGCAUGUGAGUCUACAGCAGCUGAAGCAUUUGUAGAAAGGAUGAAUGACAUUGUCAACAUUUAUCCCUGUGGAAUAUGUGUCAGUCCAUGGUCACCUUGGUUAGCAGCUAGCCCAGACAGAAAGGUGUAUUGCCCUUCCCAUACUCCAUGUUAUGGUUUACUGGAAAUCAAGUGUCCUGUCAACCCCCUAUCACAAUGUGUCUACCUCAACAAGGAUGAAAAUGGGUUUAAGCUGAAGAGAACACAUAACUAUUUUCAUCAGAUUAUGAUGCAUCUUGCGGUAACAGGACUAGGGUGGUGUUACUUGUUUGUUUGGACUUCAGAUGAAUCUCAUCUUGAGCUUAUCACAUUUGACUCAAGUAGAUGGCAAGAAAUGAAAGACAAGCUUGAUAUGUUUUAUUUUGACCAUUACUUGAAAGGCUGAUCAAUAUUUGAUAUAAAUCAUUUUCAUUUGAAGGAAUGUUUUCAUUACUUAAAGUAGCAUUUUCUAUAUCUAUUCAAGAUUUGCUAAUUAUUUCCAUUCAGUUUCAACAUGUUUAUGCCAAAGUAACAAGGUCAAUGGUCAUGUUAUUAAAUGCAAAGUCUUGCCAUAAGAAAUCUAUAUACAAAAUUUGAAAGCAUGCCUUAAAUAAUUCAGGAUAUAUUUUCUUAAAAGUAGAUCAAUCUCCAAGGUCAUGAGGUCAGACACUUUGGUACCAAAUCAAAUUUUCUCACAUAUGAAGACUGUGAGCUUUAUCACUUACCAUUUAAAAAUUAUGCGCCAGCUUAAUUUUUUGGACAGACAGGACAAAUUUAAUAUUCCUCCAACAUUAGU